AUGGUUACUUCUAUUGUACUGCUUGAUUGGCCCAUGUAUGUUGUUGUCGUGCCUCUGUCGGCACACCCAUGGAUUAGCGCAGCGGGCUGCUUAGGCUCCAUUGUUAAGCUUAUGCUUUCAGAGUUCAGCAUUGCAGCAACAUCUGUCAUGGCGGGUCGAUCUGCUGGAUCUUCCUGGGCACAAAGCAGUGCCACUUGA
rnacentral:rRNA from 1 species